GCCAUUGUUAAAUUUCUCUUCAGGUGCUCGCCACUGCAUAAUGUUAGCAGACCAUGGGAACAAUCCUCUGAUCAGUUUUCUCAGUACCCAGCUACCAUGUUAUUGACAGCUGAUCAUGAUGAUCGGGUUGUGCCAUUACACUCAUUAAAGUUAUUAGCGACCAUGCAAUAUGUUUUGUGCACAAGCUUGGAAAAGAGCCCACAGAAAAACCCAAUCGUUGGAAAAGAACCUACAGAAAAACUCAAAAAAUGAUUGAUGAAGCUGCAGA